UCGGCCUCCCAAAGUGCUGGCAUUACAGGUGUAAGCCACCGCACCCGGCCGCAUCUCUUUUUUUAAAAAGUGUCAAUGGAAUCAUUUUCCCGUCUCGUAUAUCUCCCCACCAUCAGGCUGUGCCAGGACUUAGGUAGAGAUGCUGCUUCUCUUCCUGCCUUGUGUGGCAAGUUUCUUUGCAGCAGACCUUUCAGAUAUUUGUUCCCAGUCACAGAUGGCAGCCUGACUGUUUUCAGGGAAGCUAGUCAUUGAUUUUCACUCAAGGAAAAUGGCUGAGGCAGGCCUUCUCUUCAUUCGCAAGGUUGGGUUUCUGGUACAUGGUGUCUUCUGUUUGUCUUCUGUUAGCUCUGUGCUAAACUUGGAGUUUUAGCUUAACUCUAUUUUUGCUCCAUCUUUUCCAGUGACUUGGGGCUGCUGAAUGCUUACCUGACUGUCUGCUUCAGCUUAUAGUUUCUAUAUAUCUUGGAUCUUGCUCCAUUUUUUUAUUCUUUUGUUUGCCUCAGUUUGCCCAAUUCCUGCUGACCACCCUAUUCUUCCAGACUACAUUGCUCACCAGCCCCGCUUCACAGCAAAUAGAAAUCAGAAAUCAGGCCUUCAUCAUAGGACAUAAGAAGUAUAUCCUAGAAGAAGCUACAGCCUGCUACGGGUCUCCAAUCUUUAGGCCUAGGCUUUUUGCAUCAUCUAAAGUGUAGCAGUUAUAGUUAGGUUUCAGUGCUGGUCACCACCUCACCUUCCUGUUGCCCUUCACUGCCAUCUGGCUGCAUUAGCAGUGUCUCAACACACUGGAUUUUUUUUUAAAUUAGUGUCUACUAUUCUUGCAGUGUCUACUACCUGUUUUUCUUAGGCCCACCCUUCUGGAUGCUGCUUCAUAUAUCUUUCUAUUGCAGCCACUUUGACAUGGAGUUUUCCAAUCUGGCUACUGUCAGUGCCUGCAAGCAAGCCAGAGCCACAAUUUUUAUAGAUUUGUGUUUGAACAAAGCCCAGCUCUACAAGUACAGCAUCAACUCAGCAUUCAGAAGUACCCCCAGGAAGCAUCCUCUGCUCACCAUAGAAAGUUUUCAGAAACUCCUGAGAGUCUGAUUAUAUACUAGAUUGGAACAAAGAAGCUAGUAAGAAUUAAUGAAGUCACCUCUGGGAACAUUGCCUCUGAAAAACUGUAAGUAAUUGCGCAUUUGGCCAGGAAGGCAAGGAAUUCCAAGGCAGCGGAGAUCUGAGGAGCAUUCUCCAGCAGUCCUCAGGUGCUGUGGUGCUUACCAGAGCUCUGUCCAGGGAUAGGAAAGGAAGAGAGAAGAGGGCAUAAUGACAGUGCAGAAAGGAAGUUAGAGACUGGGAUUCGUGGUUUUGGGGGUUGAAAGAAACCUUGAAAGUCAUGGAGUACGAAAAUAGAACAGGAACCAAGAUUAGCUGAAUCAACAGAAAUCUAGUAUACACUUGCCAGGUCCCUUGAGCUGAAGUGUGCCAGGGUGCAAAGGAAGUGUUGCAUAAGGGCAUCAUCACUUUCAAGCACUUAGGAUCUGGAGGCUCCAGUUUCACUACCUACCUCUCUGCCUUCUCUGUCUUAUUUGGUUUUCUCUUCCUCCAUGCAUUCUUUUAAAAUGUAAGCAUUUCCUAGUGUGAUGUGAUAUUAUUCUCUUUUUUCAGUCCUCCUUCUUGUCUUGAUUGCCCUUACCUCCUCCCAAGAUUUCAGCCAUCACCUCUGUUGAUGUCUUCAACCCUGACUACUCUCCAGACCUCCAGAUUGUCAGCUGCCUCCCAGAUGCCCUCACAUGGAUGUCCUAAAAGCACCUCAAAUUUAGCAUGUUUAAAAUCAAACUUGCAGCUGGGUGCGGUGGCUCACGCCUGUAAUCCCAGCGCUUUGGGAGGCCGAGGCAGGCGGAUCACCUGAGCUCAGGAGUUCGAGACCAGCCUGGCCAACAUGGUGAAACCCUAUCUCUACAAUCCCAGCUUCUCAGGAGGCUGAGGCAUGAGAUUUGCUUGAACCCAGGAGGUGGAGGUAGCAGUGAGACGAGAUCACAUCACAGGACUCCAGCCUGGGUGACAGAGUGAGAUUCUGUCUCAAAAAAAAAAAAAAUAAAUAAAUAAAUAAUCAAACUUGCAUUGAAACAUGCUACAGCAUGAAAGACCCUUAAAAA